rnacentral:lncRNA from 1 species
UUGAUGUUUGUUUUCUAUUUCGAGCGGAAAGCCAACUUGACAUGUCAGACUAAUUUUGGGAUAUGAUUAUAUGACACCAAUGAGCUGAAAACUGCAUAUUGCACGUAAUAUAACUUUGCUAUUGUGCCUGACUGCCAUAAGAAGGGACACUAUUGGGCCGAACUAGAGUAUUUCCUCUCAAUACAAGUGCAUAAUAGCUAUAUCACUGCUUCAGUCCUUUGAGAUGCAGAUGGCUUCUCUUAAACUCUCUACCUUGAAUAGAAAACAAGGGUAUGAACUUGAAAAAUUAAUAUUAGCAUUUGACAAAUCCUUUUCUA